rnacentral:rRNA from 1 species
UACCAGCACCCCGAGUGGUCGGGACGAUUAUUGGGCCUAAAGCAUCCGUAGCCGGUCCUGCAAGUCUUCCGUUAAAUCCAGCUGCUCAACAGAUGGGCUGCGGGGGAUACUACAGGGCUAGGAGGCGGGAGAGGCAAGCGGUACUUUAUGGGUAGGGGUAAAAUCCGUUGAUCCAUAGAAGACCACCAGUGGCGAAGGCGGCUCACUGGCCCGAUACUGACGCUGAGGCACGAAAGCGUGGGGAGCAAACAGG